AGACAGCGACGACGCAACGCUCGUCGUCGCUGCCUCGUUCCUUCUUCUGUUGUCGCCUGGCCAAGGGAUAUGCACCAACCGGCCCCAUACACUAUGUGUCUUUUACCAUGGAGCCAUCUGGAUCUUUAGGAAAAAAUCUUCCAGGAGCAGUACUGCAAGAGCCAUCAGGAUGGAAAAAAAUCUUCCCAUGGAGCAGUAUACCCCAAGCCAUCGGAUUAAAAAAAAAAUUCCCGGGAACUGCACCGCAAAAGGGACAAGGCUGUACAGAGUUACUGCGACGAUGUGUUGCGAACUCCAUGAGAUGAGCCGCAGAUUUCAGCUGCAGGAAAAAAACAAGUUGUAUACAUUCUGGACCUCGAAAACUUCUGCAGUGACAACAAGCGUACUACAGUCAAGCAACCAUGAAUUGAAGCUUGAAUUCCUUGUCGGAUGCGACCACAGAAGACGUUGCUGGGAGAUGUCGCGACUGUGCCCGGUGUGUUUUCGACGUUUUCAGACAGAUGAAGUUCGCCAUGAAGUCUGCCCAGAGUGCGAGGAGACGACGACAUGACGCCAUCUCAGCGGGCAGGAUCCAGCCGAAGAAGGCUACAAGGGAUGUCGAUAUUUUGGUGGUGACGAUACGUGUCCAGGGGUGAACAGCACCACCAAAAUGUUCUGUAUCUUUCCAGCUCCAUAGGUAACCCAGUCGUGGAUGCAACGCCCAGAGAUGGAAGUAACCCUGUCCUAGGUUAAUACCUAUCACCAACGUCUUUCCCGCUAAAAUGUCGUGAGCCGUGCGGCGGUGGUUGCUUGAUUAAGGACACCACUCCCGUGCACUUGGUGACAACAGCAGCAUAUCUAACACCCAAUGUAUUAUUGCAACAGAGAAUAUGUUAAUGAGUAAUCGAACUCACUUAUUCAGUACUACGAGGGGUGUUCAAGUCAAACCGGGACUUUCUGUCUCCUGAGUGAGCAAAUGGCUCGCGCUACUUCUUUUUUGUCAUUUUCACACGCGACAGGCCUCCGCGUUCACCACGUGGUGGUCCAAAGUUCAUGCAAAGCAGAAGACACGUGCUGGACAAGAUGGCCGACAACGAGGUGAGAGCGCACAUCGAACAGCAAAUUGUCAUGAAGUUUCUCGUGAAUGAAGGCGUAAAGUCAUCUGCAAGUCACAGAAGACUUCAGGGUCAGUAUGGCCACGAUACACUUAGCCGCAGCAAAUCGUUUGAGUGGUGCAAACGGUUCCGAGACGGCCGUACAUCAGUGCAGGACGAUCCCGGCCGGGACAGCUCAGAGCCCAGUGUCAGAGUUCCUAAGAACAUCCAACGUUUUUCUACGGUUUUCUGGGACAACGCUGGCGUUGUUCAUGUUGAUUUUCUGCCCAGUGGUACCACCAUCAAUAGUGCAUAUUACUGCCAGUUUCUCAGGGAUAUGCAUAAGGAGCCGAAGCAAAAGCGGCCGGCCCUCAUCACCAAAGGAGUCCUCCUCCUACAGGACAAUGCACGCCCGCAUACAGCGCAUCUCACGACACGCACCUUACAGGAACUUGGCUAGGAGUUUCUGCCACAUCCCCCUUACAGUCCAGACCUCGCCCCCAGCGAUUUCCAUCUCUUCGGGCCACUGAAGGCGUUCCUUGGGGGCCGCCAUUUCAGCUGCGACGACGAGGUCAAGAAUGCGGUUCGAUCAUGGCUGCUACGCGUCGAUACGGACUUCUACGCUGCUGGCAUCCAAGCCCUCGUGAAACGCUGGGACAAGUGCAUUAGUGCAGCUAUAGAUUACGUUGAAAAAUAAAACUAAUUUCUCGCCUGUAAGUUCGUUUUACUUUUGCGAAAAAUGAAAAGUCCCCUUGACUUGAACACCCCUCGUACAUACAUAAACUACAUACUUCUGCAGCGCUCUAACGAAGAAGAAAAUUGAAUGAUACAGGAAUUGCAGUCUACAAAAUAAAUGAUAUGAGUGCUAUCAGAAUUAAAAAUUGUCACGUGAUAGUACUGCUGAGUGCUGAGGCUAUCGAGUAGACACUUUUUUUUUUUCAUGGGGUUCUAAUAGUGCCUCUUCAAUACAGGAGCACGGUGCUGGGGAACCUCCUGUAUCGAUUUGAUAGUGUAUAUAAAUGCCUAUUCAGGCGUUAGCGCCUA